UCAGCAUCGCGGUCGGCAGCGGGAAAGCCGGCCCGAGCCCACCCGAGCGCAGUCAGAGCCGGCAUAAAGGGCAGGAAGCCACCCCGCUGAUUGGCUGCCUUCGUUUCCAUGGAGACGGGGAGCGGAACGCAGGGGCCGACGGGAUUCGGUCGGCUUCCGGCGCGCUGUGCCCGGGGUCUCCGGGGUGAGGGGAGAGGCGGUACGCGUUUCGGGCUGAAGGCUGGCGGGCAAGGGAAGGAGAGAAGGUGGGAAAAGGGCUACGAAAAACAAACCUGAAAUAAUGAUCCUUGAAUGUAUGAUUUUGAAUACUGGUGCUUUACCUUCUCUGGAACAGAAUCCCAGAAAGAGAAUUGCUGAGUCACAGGUCACCUCAUACACGUGUGAAAGCUGGACAAUGAAUAAGGAAGACCAAAGAAGAAUUGUCACUUUUGAAUUAUGGUGUUGGUGAAGAAUAUUGAAUAUACCGUGGACUGCUAGAAGAACGAACACAUCCGUCUCAGAAGAAAUACAGCCAGAAUGCUCCUUAGAAGUGAGGUUGGUAAGACUUUGUCUCAUGUACUUUGGACAUGUUAUGAGGGGGUACCAGUCCCUGGAGAAGGACAUUAUACUUGGUAAAGUAGAAGGUCGGUAGAAAAGAGGAAGACCCUCAAAGAGCUGGAUUGACACAGUGGCUACAACAAUGGGCUCAAACAUAGUGACAAUUGUGAGGAUGGUACAGGACCGGGGAGUGUUUUGUUCUGUUGUAUGUAAGCAUGAGUCAGGACUGACGUGACAGCACUUAACGACAAUAACCAGGAUGAUUCUAGAACCUUCUUUUGAGAAAAAUACCACCCUCAUAUAAAACAGAACAUUUAAUAUUAUAGAAUGUACCUUUUGACUUUUCAGAAAGGCAUUUAUUUUCAUAGACUUAAUUUUUUACCACUUGCUAUGGGUUCAAAAGCUUUGUUAUUGUUUUAACACCAUGUAUUUAAAUAUUCUUCUAAUAGGUUGUAUUUGGAGAAGUAAUUAUUGUGUGAAGGGGUGAAGGGAAACUCAGAGCCUUCUUCAGCAGGUGGAAGAGCUGGAAUCAGAAAGACUUGUGGGAGCCUUGGAUCAGGUACUGCUGGAGUCCAGCACAGCAAAAGGGAGCAGGUAUGGCCAUUGUAGCAUGGUGGCUCCUAUGCUGCAGGCCAGGCUCAGAAAAGCAUCAAAUGCACCCCAGCAGAAGAAUGCCAGACGACAGGAGAAGAUUUUUUCCCCUCCUAUAAGGCCAGAUUAUGUUGUCUCCUGAAACAAUUAAUGUUUGACUUGGUGAGAUGUGCUUGCUUCUUAAAUAACUAGGAGCAAAAUUGUCUGCAGCCUUGUCUGGUGGAGAGUCUAGAGUGAGACCCCACAGCCUCCCUCAGCCCAGGGACCAGAGCCCACUUCCCCCUUAGUUUUGUCAGCAUCUCAGUAGCUUCUGGCCAAAGCCUGAGGCUCUGGAGUCUGCAAGACCGAAGGAAGCACAGAGGGAGCAAAGACUUCUCUAUCUGAGGAUGGACACUGAGCUGGAUGGCUGGGAAAAGGAAGGGGAAAGAAAGCAAGGAAGAAGGGAAGGAGGAAGGAAGGAAGGAAGAGGAAGGAAGGAAGGGAGGAGAGAAAGCUCAGGAGACCUUGGGUUCAGUGUGAUACUCUAAUAUCUGCACGUUAACGUCCGUAAAACUCAAGACUCAAUUUUGCUUUGUGUGCUUACUUUAUUUUGUUGUUUUGAAAAGUUUACAAAUUGACAUGGCUCAAAAUAAUGUUAUGAAAAGAUAAAUCCUGAGGAAGUCUCUCUCCCACUCUGUUCCUACCCACCACAUCCCCCAUCUCCUCCCCCAACAGGUAACCACUUUUAUUAGUUUCUUAUGUAUCCUUGCAUUGUUUCCUCAUGCAAGCAAAUAUGAACGUAUGAUGUUAUUUCUUACACAAAAGGUAUCAUACUCUAUGUAUCGUGUUUAGCACCUUGCUUUUUCCGACUUGGCAAUACAGCCUGGAGAUUUUUUUAUGGUAGGGUAGGAAGAGCUUUUGUCUUCUUUUUUGUUGCUGCAUAGUAUUCCACUGGGUGGAUGUGCCAUACUUUAAUUAACCUGAUCUCUUUCGAUAGGUACUUGGUUAUUUUAAGCUUUAUAUAUUGCAAACAGUGGUGCAAUGGAUAAUGCUAUAUGUACAUCAUUUCUGAUGUGUGCUGGUUUAUAAGCAGGAUAAGUUCCCAGAAGUGGGAUUGCUGGGUCAAAGGGAAAUGCACUUAAAAGGAAAUUAUUUUAUUGUGGUGAAAUAGAUAUAUAGUAAAACUUGCAAAAGCUAGAAACUGAGUAAGGCAGGAACCUGUCAGAGAAGGAAAAGGAAAAUAUUUUCUACUAAAACAAGUGAUAGAAAAGCGGUAAGAGUGUACCCUCGUCAAAGGCAGAAAACUUGUGUGACCCGGAAGAACUAGCACUCCCAUUGAAUUCCAGCUUUCACAGGUUUCACUGUAAUAAAACAUUUGCCAUUUCAACAAUUUCUAAGUGUAUAAUUUGGUGACGUUGUUUACAAUCGCCAUGUUGUGCAAACCAUCACCACUAUCUGGUGCCAAUAGUUUUCCUCACCCCUACCAGAAAUUCGGAAACACUGGUGGCAUAGUGGUUAAGUGCUACAGCUGCUAACCAAAGGGUUGGCAGUUCAAAUCUGCCAGGUGCUCCUUGGAAACUCUACGGGGCAGUUCUACUCUGUUCUAUAGGGUCGCUAUGAGUCGGAAUUGACUCGACGGCACUGGGUUUGGUUGGGUUUUGUACCAGAAAUUCAGUACCGUUUAAGGAAUAUCUCUCCAUUUCCCUCCUCACCUACCUGUGGUAACCACUAAUAAACUUUGAUCUCUAUGUGUUUGCCUGUUCUAGAUAUUUCAUGUAAGUGGGGUCAUACAAUAUUUGUCCUUUUGUGUCUGACUUACUUCACUCAGUAGAAUGUUUUCAGGGUUCAUCCAUGUGGUAGCAUGUAUCAGGGCUCCGUUUCUCUUUAUGUUAUUGUUGUUAGGUGCCAUCAAGUGGGUUAAGACUCAUAGCGACCCUAUGCAUGACAGAACGAAACACUGCCCAGUCCUUUUUCUUUAUAGCUGAGGGAUGUUUACUUGUAUGGCUAUACCACAUUUUGUUUACCCAUUCAUCUGCUGAUGGACCGUUGGCUGGUAAAUGCACUCUUGAAGAAAUCAAGCGAAUUUACCUACACUGCCACCAGCAACAGAUUAGAGUUCCUAUUUCCCUUUAGUAUCAUUGACAAAGUGUGUUAUAUAAUUACCUUUUAAAGUUCCCAAACCAAUAACGCUAUGGUUUGGGAUAGGAAUAUUUACACUGAAGACAUUGGCUAACAUCUGUGAUGGGUUUCCUCUUUCACUUAUCAGUUGAUAAUGAACAUACAACCCACCCAGAUACUCAGGCACAGGCUGGGUGACUACUUGGCCUUGACAGGAAUGCUAUCCAGGAGAGAGGAAGAGACUUAAACAUGGAUGGGGUUGGAUUACAUGCUCUGGGAUGUUCUUUUCUAACCUGACUGUCUUUGGUUUGCUAAUAUGUCUCAUCUAUUCAGCUUAUAUUCUCCCUCCCUCCUGAUACAACUUACACAUGGAAUUGUGUUCUAAACGUUUGUAAUUGUUUUUCACCCAAGACAUACUCUUCAAAAAAAAUUAUUUUUGGUGAAAAAAUGUACAGAAAGAGAUAUACCAUUUCAACAAUUUCUACAUGUGCAAUUCAGUGACAUUGAUUAUAUUCUUCAAGUUGUGCAAUCAUUCUCGCUGUCCUUUUCCAAAUUGUUCCACCACAGAAACUUAUUGCCCCUACACUUCUCAUUUAACCUUUUGAGUUGCUGUUGUCAAUUUGAUCCCACAGAGAUAAUUUGUUAAAAGACACAAUGCUUAAAGGUAGGCAUACUUUACUAUUUAAGCUAAACUAUUGUUUGGUUUGGAAACCCUGGCAGUGUAGUGGUUAAGUGCUACGGCUGCUAACCAAAAGAGUAGCAGUUCAAAUCCACCAGGUGCUCCUUGGAAACUCUACAGGGUAGUUCUACUCUGUCCUGUAGGU